GCACCGCGGGCCUGGCGGCCGGGGAAGGGAGCUCUGCACCCCGCGCUCCUGCCACCCCAGAGGCGCUCUCGCCCGGGGCGGGCUGGGGGUUCCUGAAGCGCCCGCGGGCGGAGGGUGAGGGGGAAGGAAGGAGGAUUUGCAACAAUACCUCAGGGAGGAGGCAGACGGGGCAGCGGCAGCAGCGGCGGCUGGAGGCGGAGGCAGAGGCGGAGGAGGAGGUGCCCGGGCACUCCCCCUCCCAUUGUCCCCAGCCCCGGACAGGCCCGGCCCCACGCCCCGCACCGGUCCGGGCGAGCGCACCGCCCGCGCCCAGCGCCCCGCGUCCCGGGCCGUGCAGCCAGCCCUUACCUUGCAGCGCUCGGCUCUCCCCGAUCGCUAAGCUACUUAUCCCGGGAAAGCUGCGCGGGGCCCGGGAGCGAACCCACAGACAAAAAGUGAAACUUCGGCAGGGCUGGAGCGACUGCUGACCUCCUCCUGAGCCCCACCCCGGAUUCCCAGCAAGACUCAAAACUUACAGGAUGUUCAAACUGGCAGAGACAAACUUCCAACCCAUUCACUUCACCCGUGAGAAUGCUGAAACUUGCAGAAAAGAAAUGAUUUGCACAGAACCUACUCUCAACAGAUCCAGGAGCGGGACCCGAGUCCCUGCCUCCCCUCAGGAUUGAUUCCAGCCCGCAGGCAGGGUCCUGACUGCCUCCUAACCUCUGAACUGUGAACCAGGUUAGAUAUCAGACUAGGCAGGAGGACCACCCAGUGAAGUGACUUUAUAUUUCCCUUCCAGAACUAGUUCUGAGAAGGUUCUGGUUGACAGUGAGCCCUGAGGAACAGAGACAAUCAGUUGCUUCAGGGUAACUUCCCUUGUACUAUGCUGAAAGAGGUGAGUUAAACAACUACAGCUUGCUCUGUACUUACAGUUUCGAAAAAAUGUAUACGAACUGGGUGGACUGGUUUGAAUAAAGACAAGCCUGUUCUUGGAAGGUUCAA